AGUGAACGCUGGCGGUAGGCCUAACACAUGCAAGUCGAACGGCAGCACAGUAAGAGCUUGCUCUUACGGGUGGCGAGUGGCGGACGGGUGAGGAAUACAUCGGAAUCUACUUUUUCGUGGGGGAUAACGUAGGGAAACUUACGCUAAUACCGCAUACGACCUACGGGUGAAAGCAGGGGAUCUUCGGACCUUGCGCGAUUGAAUGAGCCGAUGUCGGAUUAGCUAGUUGGCGGGGUAAAGGCCCACCAAGGCGACGAUCCGUAGCUGGUCUGAGAGGAUGAUCAGCCACACUGGAACUGAGACACGGUCCAGACUCCUACGGGAGGCAGCAGUGGGGAAUAUUGGACAAUGGGCGCAAGCCUGAUCCAGCCAUACCGCGUGGGUGAAGAAGGCCUUCAGGUUGUAAAGCCCUUUUGUUGGGAAAGAAAAGCAGCAGGCUAAUACCCCGCUGUUCUGACGGUACCCAAAGAAUAAGCACCGGCUAACUUCGUG
rnacentral:rRNA from 1 species